GACGAACGCUGGCGGCGUGCUUAACACAUGCAAGUCGAACGGAAAGGCCCUGCUUUUGUGGGGUGCUCGAGUGGCGAACGGGUGAGUAACACGUGAGUAACCUGCCCUUGACUUUGGGAUAACUUCAGGAAACUGGGGCUAAUACCGGAUAGGAGCUCCUGCUGCAUGGUGGGGGUUGGAAAGUUUCGGCGGUUGGGGAUGGACUCGCGGCUUAUCAGCUUGUUGGUGGGGUAGUGGCUUACCAAGGCUUUGACGGGUAGCCGGCCUGAGAGGGUGACCGGCCACAUUGGGACUGAGAUACGGCCCAGACUCCUACGGGAGGCAGCAGUGGGGAAGAUUGCACAAUGGGCGCAAGCCUGAUGCAGCAACGCCGCGUGCGGGAUGACGGCCUUCGGGUUGUAAACCGCUUUCAGCAGGGACGAAGCUUUUUGUGACGGUACCUGCAGAAGAAGCACCGGCUAACUACGUG
rnacentral:rRNA from 1 species